AGAAUCUUCCGCAAUGGGCAAAAGCCUGACGGAGCGACGCCGCGUGGUGGAUGAAGCCCUUAGGGGCGUAAACACCUUUUAUGAGGGAGGAAUUUUAUUGACGUUACCUCAUGAAUAAGGGGCUCCCAACUCUGUGCCAGCAGGAGCGGUAAUACAGAGGCCCCAAGCAUUAUCCGGAUUCACUGGGCGUAAAGGGUGCGUAGGCGGUUAUAUUAGUCAGAUGUUAAAUCCUGGAGCUCAACUUCAGGCCCGCAUUUGAAACGGUAUAACUAGAAGACGUCAGAGGCAAGCAGAACUCACGGUGUAGGGGUGAAAUCCGUUGAUAUCGUGGGGAAUACCAAAUGCGAAGGCAGCUUGCUGGGGCGAUCUUGACGCUGAGGCACGAAAGCGUGGGUAGCG
rnacentral:rRNA from 1 species